GAUGAACGCUGGCGGCGUGCCUAACACAUGCAAGUCGAGCGAAGCACUUUGCUUAGAUUCUUCGGAUGAAGAGGAUUGUGACUGAGCGGCGGACGGGUGAGUAACGCGUGGGUAACCUGCCUCAUACAGGGGGAUAACAGUUAGAAAUGACUGCUAAUACCGCAUAAGACCACAGCACCGCAUGGUGCAGGGGUAAAAACUCCGGUGGUAUGAGAUGGACCCGCGUCUGAUUAGCUAGUUGGUAAGGUAACGGCUUACCAAGGCGACGAUCAGUAGCCGACCUGAGAGGGUGACCGGCCACAUUGGGACUGAGACACGGCCCAAACUCCUACGGGAGGCAGCAGUGGGGAAUAUUGCACAAUGGGGGAAACCCUGAUGCAGCGACGCCGCGUGAGUGAAGAAGUAUUUCGGUAUGUAAAGCUCUAUCAGCAGGGAAGAAAAUGACGGUACCUGACUAAGAAGCACCGGCUAAAUACGUGCCAGCAGCCGCGGUAAUACGUAUGGUGCAAGCGUUAUCCGGAUUUACUGGGUGUAAAGGGAGCGUAGACGGAUGGGCAAGUCUGAUGUGAAAACCCGGGGCUCAACCCCGGGACUGCAUUGGAAACUGUUCAUCUAGAGUGCUGGAGAGGUAAGUGGAAUUCCUAGUGUAGCGGUGAAAUGCGUAGAUAUUAGGAGGAACACCAGUGGCGAAGGCGGCUUACUGGACAGUAACUGACGUUGAGGCUCGAAAGCGUGGGGAGCAAACAGG
rnacentral:rRNA from 1 species